AGUAUCAAAAUAAUGAGUUUACUCCCCUUUGCUCCAGGUCUAGAUGCUGCCUUUGUUGGCCCUAAUGAGAAUCACUAUGCAAUUCUAGAUGAGGAUAAGACUGGGUUGUCCUUGUAUAUUUUGCCUGAGCUGCUCUACAAGUGUCAAAAGAAAAGAAUGGCGCCAUUGAUCAAAACCAGCCUACUGAGAGCUGCUCUACAAGUGUUAAAAGAAAAGAAUGGCGCCAUUGAUCAAAACCAGUCUACUGACUCUGAUGUUGGUACCACUAAGGGUCCAAUGCAAUUUAUGUUCGAAACUGAAGUUCAUCGCAUCUUCUCAACUCC
rnacentral:lncRNA from 1 species